UACGUAGGGGGCUAGCGUUGUCCGGAAUCAUUGGGCGUAAAGAGCGCGUAGGCGGCUAGAUAAGUCCGGUGUGAAAGUCACAGGCUCAACCUGUGAAUGCCGCUGGAAACUGUCUGGCUAGAGUCCGGAAGGGGCGAGUGGAAUUCCUGGUGUAGCGGUGAAAUGCGCAGAUAUCAGGAGGAACACCAGUGGCGAAGGCAGCUCGCUGGGACGGUACUGACGCUGAGGCGCGAAAGCGUGGGGAGCAAACAGG
rnacentral:rRNA from 1 species